CUGUCAAGGCAUAUUAUUUGAACAUUGAAAUCAUCAAUAGGGUGUUCAAUGACACUCUGCUGGAUACCAGUUCAAAGGACUACAUCCAGAUGAGAAGCGAAGUCACUGCAUUGCUUAACAAUAUCUAUAAUUGCUCAACAUGUUCUACAAACACAUUCUAUGGUGGUGCUCCGCAAAUGACCUUCAGCAAAGGAUCAGUAAUAGCCAAAUGCACUCUAGUGUUUUACACAGCAUAUAUCAAUCAAUAUGUCGUGAAGUUUUUGUUUUUAAAGAGUUUAGGAGACAGCCCCCCAGCAGGUCUCCAAAUAAAUGCAACUUAUACACAG